AAGUAACGCGGCCGUGAUUCGAGCUCGGGACUCGCGGUGCUCUAGAUUAACUGCGAUGGCUCAUUAAAACAGUUAUAGUUUAUUUGAUAUAUUAAAUGGAUAACUGUAGAAAAACUAGAGCUAAUACAUGCCGAAGCCGCAAGGUUGUAUUUAUUAGAUAUUCCAAUUAGGUGAAUCAUGAUAACUUUGCAAAUCUCGGUUUUGCCGAGAUAAAUCAUCCAAGUUUCUGCCCUAUCAUGCUUUCGAUGGUAGUGUAUUGGACUACCAUGGCUUUCACGGGUAACAGGGAAUUAGGGUCGAUUUCUGGAGAAGGAGCCUGAGAAACGGCUACUACAUCUACGGAAGGCAGCAGGCGCGUAAAUUACCCAAUCCUGACUCAGGGAGGUGGUGACAAGAUAUAACAACGCAAUUUAAUUGUGAUUGUAGUGAGGGUUUUCCAAACCGAACCACUAGUACGAUUAGAGGGCAAGUCUGGUGCCAGCAGCCGCGGUAAUUCCAGCUCUAAUAGCGUAUAUUAAAGUUGCUGCAGUUAAAAGCUCGUAGUUGGAUUUCAGGAUUGUGUACUCUCUCAGAGUAUGCACCCUACUAGUCUUUGACUGUACUGGUGGAGAAAUAGAGUGUUUAAAGCAGGCUAUUGCAGAUAAUUAACAUGGGAAUAACGAAAGGAUCCUCAGACCUCGGUUUAUUCUAGGGUUCGAUAAAAAAAAAAGCGUUGUGGGGGGCUUGAUAUUAUUGUGCGGAGGGGAGGACUUCUGUGUUGUGUGUUGUAUAUACUACUUAGCGUGCAGACUCAUUGGCGCAGACGGAGUGUGGUCUUUUCUUUAUUUC
rnacentral:rRNA from 1 species